rnacentral:misc_RNA from 1 species
AACUCAUCUAUGCCAGGAGAGAUUCUACAUGAUAACGGAAACAGUGAAGAUUUUUCAAAUUUAGGUUUGACUCAAAUUGCUAAGAAGGGGAUAUGAGGAAGUAAUCAAAAGAAAUUGAAUGAAAGAACUAACAAGUCCUUUCCAUGCAUUAGGUGGCAAAACAAAAAUUUUAAUUGAAUAAGUUACGCAACAAAAUUUAAAAAUAGUUGGAGUUUAUAUUAAAGAACUCACCAAGAUGAUGCAUACACUCCACUCAAAUAAUAUUUUAGCAAUUUGAUCCAAAUAAGAUGCUAUAUUAACAACUUUGACAUUAUAAGGAAGUCUACUAACUUACUAUAUUAAGUAAGAUGAGGCAUACACCAAGAUUUUGAAGUAUACUAAGGUCAGAAAUUAAAUCAUGAAUCAACUUUACUCUGAACCAGGCAUGAAUAAAAAAUUAAAAAAUUAAUCAAUAAAAACAUGCCUUUUCUGGUCCUCAUGAAUAAAAAAUUUAGCUUCAGUUCAUGUUCAAUAAAAAAUAGCCAAUGUCUUCUCAUGACAUGAACUCCAAUACAAAUUAAGCAUAUAACAACUAAAUAAAAAAUUUCAAAUUUAAUCACAUAGAUAUAUAAAAAAAUACUAGGCUUGGGCUGAAAUCAUAAGAAAGAGAGGACAACAAAGAAAAAGGAUGAUGGAAAAUGACUUGGGUUGCAAUAAUAAGAAGGGGUUUGAUCUCUAAAUAUCUCAUGACUAAUAUCAAUUUAGACACUAGACAUGAUAGAGUGAAGGAAGGAUUCAUGGGGCAUAACUCAAUUAGUUGGGAUUUAGAUUCAGUUGAAUUUAAAUUUCAAAUAGACGUCAUUAAACAACGGAACAACUAAUUGAUAUACAGGUAGACUAUACCCCGUGAAAGGAGGCAUGCAUUCACUCCAUGUGGGUGUGGGGGUGUUGUGGAGGAGAAAGGAGAUACAUUCAGGAAAUUGGAGACUUCACCAUGUUUACCAUGUUCUAUGGCAUUUAUGGCGUGUUGAUUGUGUUUUUGUAACCUCCAUAAAAACACCCUUCAAUUAAAAGAAACAAAUUAAAGCAUGAUUAAGGAGUUAACCUAAUUUGGGGGCCUCUUCUCAA